rnacentral:rRNA from 1 species
GAUGAACGCUGGCGGCGCGCUUAACACAUGCAAGUCGAGCGAGAACCAGGGCUUCGGCUCUGGGGACAGCGGCGAACGGGUGAGUAACACGUGGGUAAUCCACCCUCGGCACCGGAAUAGCCCGGGGAAACCCGGAUUAAUGCCGGAUGGCCCGCCGGCCCCGAGGGGCUGGCGGAAAAGGUAGCUUCGGCCUCCGGCCGAGGACGAGCCCGCGACGGAUUAGCUUGUUGGUGGGGUAACGGCCUACCAAGGCUGCGAUCCGUAGCUGGUCUGAGAGGACGAUCAGCCACACUGGGACUGAGACACGGCCCAGACUCCUACGGGAGGCAGCAGUGGGGAAGCUGGCGCAAUGGGCGAAAGCCUGACGCAGCGACGCCGCGUGGGGGAAGAAGGCCUUCGGGUUGUAAACCUCUUUCAGGAGGGACGAAGCCACUCGGGUUAAUAGCCCAGAGGGUGACGGUACCUCCAGAAGAAGCCCCGGCUAACUACGUGCCAGCCGCCGCGUGUAAUAC